rnacentral:rRNA from 1 species
AUGAACGCUGGCGGCGUGCCUAAUACAUGCCAGUCGAGCGAACAGACGAGGAGCUUGCUCCUCUGACGUUAGCGGCGGACGGGUGAGUAACACGUGGAUAACCUACCUAUAAGACUGGGAUAACUUCGGGAAACCGGAGCUAAUACCGGAUAAUAUAUUGAACCGCAUGGUUCAAUAGUGAAAAACGGUUUUGCUGUCACUUAUAGAUGGAUCCGCGCCGCAUUAGCUAGUUGGUAAGGUAACGGCUUACCAAGGCGACGAUGCGUAGCCGACCUGAGAGGGUGAUCCGCCACACUGGAACUGAGACACGGUCCAGACUCCUACGGGAGGCAGCAGUAGGGAAUCUUCCGCCAUGGGCGAAAGCCUGACGGAGCAACGCCGCGUGAGUGAUGAAGGUCUUCGGAUCGUAAGACUCUGUUAUUAGGGAAGAACAAAUGUGUAAGUAACUAUGCACGUCUUGACGGUACCUAAUCAGAAAGCCACGGCUAACUACGUG